rnacentral:rRNA from 1 species
GAUAAACGCUGGCGGCGUGCUUAACACAUGCAAGUCGAACGAAGUUUUUCUUUCGGGAGGAACUUAGUGGCGGACGGGUGAGUAACGCGUGGGUAACCUGCCCUGUACAGGGGGACAACAGCUGGAAACGGCUGCUAAUACCGCAUAAGCCCUUAGCACUGCAUGGUGCAUAGGGAAAAGGAGCAAUCCGGUACAGGAUGGACCCGCGUCUGAUUAGCCAGUUGGCAGGGUAACGGCCUACCAAAGCGACGAUCAGUAGCCGAUCUGAGAGGAUUUACGGCCACAUUGGGACUGAGACACGGCCCAGACUCCUACGGGAGGCAGCAGUGGGGAAUAUUGCACAAUGGAGGAAACUCUGAUGCAGCGACGCCGCGUGAGUGAAGAAGUAUUUCGGUAUGUAAAGCUCUAUCAGCAGGAAAGAAAAUGACGGUACCUGACUAAGAAGCACCGGCUAAAUACGUG